GAAUCGCUAGUAAUCGUGGAUCAGAAUGGCACGGUGAAUACGUUCCCGGGCCUUGUACACACCGCCCGUCACGCCAUGGGAGUGGACUGCACCAGAAGUGGUUAGCCUAACUUCGGAGGGCGAUCACCACGGUGUGGUUCAUGACUGGGGUGAAGUCGUAACAAGGUAGCCGUAGGGGAACCUGCGGCUGGAUCACCUCCUU
rnacentral:rRNA from 1 species